AGGUCUACACUACCAGCCUUCUGUAGUGACCACCGUAAUGUACUCCAAUGGCAAAAGAGAGAAGAAAUUCGGCUCCUGGAGGACAGCGUUGGCUUUGUGCCCAUGGAAUUUCAUUCUAUUCAUGAUGCUUCCAUCCUGAUGGCCUGGCCUAUGGAUUUCUGGCUUGCUGAUUUAGCCCUCACAAAUAACCAUCUGCUGACCAGUCUGAGGUUAAAUGAAACAUCCGCUUUGCUUUCCUCUACCAAUGGGCUACAGAGAGG